AGAUGGAACCACUACGGAGGUGUCAGGAGCAGAUGGGCGCUCCUUCAAACAGGAGGGCUGGCUGAGAUGGGCCGCCGCUCGCCGCUCUCCUCUUCCCGAUUUGCGGCUGUGCCCCCGGGCAGCUCCUGCCGGCCCAGCCACGGGUGUGUCAGAUCCUGGGUGUGAGACCCUCUCCCUGCCCUACGUGAGCCCAGCCUGGGAGUGGGCUCUGCCUGUGUGUGUCCACAGCUGUGGGGACCAGAACAAGACAAGACUACCCUUGGUCUGCUCCCACCCCCUGGAGAUGGGGAAGUGCCCACUCAGCAGCUAAUGCCAGGAGGACAAAGAUCUGGUGCCCUCUCUCCUGCGCCCCAUGGAGAGGCUGGCUCUGCCUGGCACAGGACACACGGGAGUCUCUUACUGGAGCACCAUGCCCAUCCUUCCUUCUCCUGGGGCUGAGCUGGAGCCAGAGAAGUCCAGGUCACCAUCCCGAGGGAGAGGGACUCGCAGAGGAGCAGUCACAUUGCAAGGCACUAUGGGCUGGGGCAGAGGAAGAAUCCAGAGAAAACCAGGGACCAUUUCACAGAG